rnacentral:rRNA from 1 species
CCUUGAAAUACCACCCUUUAAUGUUUGAUGUUCUAACGUGGACCCGUAAUCCGGGUUGCGGACAGUGUCUGGUGGGUAGUUUGACUGGGGCGGUCUCCUCCUAAAGAGUAACGGAGGAGCACGAAGGUUGGCUAAUCCUGGUCGGACAUCAGGAGGUUAGUGCAAUGGCAUAAGCCAGCUUGACUGCGAGCGUGACGGCGCGAGCAGGUGCGAAAGCAGGUCAUAGUGAUCCGGUGGUUCUGAAUGGAAGGGCCAUCGCUCAACGGAUAAAAGGUACUCCGGGGAUAACAGGCUGAUACCGCCCAAGAGUUCAUAUCGACGGCGGUGUUUGGCACCUCGAUGUCGGCUCAUCACAUCCUGGGGCUGAAGUAGGUCCCAAGGGUAUGGCUGUUCGCCAUUUAAAGUGGUACGCGAGCUGGGUUUAGAACGUCGUGAGACAGUUCGGUCCCUAUCUGCCGUGGGCGCUGGAGAACUGAGGGGGGCUGCUCCUAGUACGAGAGGACCGGAGUGGACGCAUCACUGGUGUUCGGGUUGUCAUGCCAAUGGCACUGCCCGGUAGCUAAAUGCGGAAGAGAUAAGUGCUGAAAGCAUCUAAGCACGAAACUUGCCCCGAGAUGAGUUCUCCCUGAGACUUAGAGUCUCCUGAAGGAACGUUGAAGACGACGACGUUGAUA